rnacentral:lncRNA from 1 species
GUGGCAAACAAACUUAUACAUCUUCCAAGGUAGGAACCUUGCUGAGAAGGUGGAUUAGAUGGAUGAUGUGGAAGAGUGCUUAAGUAUUGAGGCUUUAAUAUUUGGUUCCAAUGGAUAUAGCUCCACUUCAAGGGAGACACCGUCCAUUGAUUUGUGGCACUAUUAUUUGGAGCAUUUGACACCAUCCAUUGAUUUGUGGCACUACUAUUUGGAGCAUUUGAGUAGCAAGGAUUUGACAACUUUGGUCAACAAGGAUUUAUUGUAAGGUAUCAAGUCAGAUAAGCUUUCUUU